AAAGUGACCAGAUUUCUUAAAACCUAAAAACAGAACCAAGGGGAGGUGCAGAGGUCCAGUUUUCUCUCAGAACACUUUAGUUACAAUAUGCUAAAAGAUUAUUAAGGAUUUAUUUAGCCAAAAAUGCCU